AAACUUUCAACAACGGAUCUCUUGGUUCUGGCAUCGAUGAAGAACGCAGCGAAAUGCGAUAAGUAAUGUGAAUUGCAGAAUUCAGUGAAUCAUCGAAUCUUUGAACGCACAUUGCGCCCCUCGGUAUUCCGGGGGGCAUGCCUGUCCGAGCGUCAUUG
rnacentral:rRNA from 2 species